GGGGGUGUAAGGGACUCGACUCAAAAAGUAGGGAGAAAGUUGCAUGCCAGCGGGUAGGCCCGCUGCAAGAGGCCUACAAAAAAAGAAAGGCAGACACCUAUACUUCUACUCCUGCUUACGCAGUUUGUUAAGCAGGGCUCUUGGCUCCGGUUGCCUCAGCUGGAGUUAAGGGCUGGGUUUGUGAGGCUGGAGAUAGACUCUUGUCUCCGGAGUCUAUCUUGAAAUUGCAGGAGACUAUCUCUAAUUUCUUCUGCUUCUCGGAGAAAUUAGAGAGAAAUCAAAAAGAGAAGCUAAGCAUGUAGGGGCUUUCUCUUGAGCUUUUUGAGGACGCGGGUUCAAGUCCCGCCACCUCCACCA
rnacentral:tmRNA from 1 species